GACGAACGCUGGCGGCGGGCCUAAAACAUGCAAGUCGAACGCAGUGGGGACGGGUGAGUAACACGUGGGUAAACUCCCAUCAGAGGGGAUAACACUUGGAAACAGGUGCUAAACCGAUAUUGAUGGCGGGACCCGCGGUGCUUUAGCUAGUUGGUGCGGUAACGGCUCACCAAGGCCACGAUGCAUAGCUGACCGGAGAGGGUGAUCAGCCACACGGGAACUGAGACACGGCCCAGACUCCUACGGGAGGCAGCAGUAGGGAAGCUUCGGAAAUGGUCGAAAGUCUGACCGAGCAACGCCGCGUGAGUGAAGAAGGUUUUCGGAUCGUUAAACUCUUUUGUGACAGAAGCGGUAUCUAUAAAGAACGCAACGGCUAAUUCCGUGCCAGCAGCCGCGGUAAUAC
rnacentral:rRNA from 1 species